rnacentral:misc_RNA from 1 species
GUGCCGUCCACCGAACGGUCGGCAGGCGAUCCGCCUCGGUCUCGCGAGGUGGUAUGGUUCCCCAGAGGCCGGUUCUUGUGCUGCCUACCCGUUCGAGGGAAGCUGGCCACUUGAUGUAAGCCUCCAUCCGGCGCCCUCCAACGGGCGCAGGAGGACAACGGAGCACCCCCCGCGUUCCACCGAUCCAUCUCGGUCGCGUGGCCUGUGGGGACGUGCGAUGCUCUCGGACCCAGCGAACGCCGUGGGCGAGGACUCACGUCCCAGUCCCGAAAUGAAGCUUCGGUAUAGUGCAUGACGGCCGCUCCCGCCCCCCGACCGCCCCGGGG